rnacentral:rRNA from 1 species
GGCUUCCUACGGGGGGCAGCAGUGGGGAAUAUUGGGCAAUGGGCGCAAGCCUGACCCAGCAACGCCGCGUGAAGGAAGAAGGCUUUCGGGUUGUAAACUUCUUUUCUGAGGGACGAAGAAAGUGACGGUACCUCAGGAAUAAGCCACGGCUAACUACGUGCCAGCAGCCGCGGUAAUACGUAGGUGGCAAGCGUUAUCCGGAUUUAUUGGGUGUAAAGGGCGUGUAGGCGGGAAAGCAAGGCAGAUGUGAAAACUCAGGGCU